rnacentral:rRNA from 1 species
GAUGAACGCUAGCUACAGGCUGAACACAUGCAAGUCGAGGGGUAACAAGAGAAAAGCUUGCUUUUCUUGUUGACGACCGGCGCACGGGUGAGUAACGCGUAUCCAACCUGCCCAUAACUAGGGAAUAACCUUGCGAAAGUAAGACUAAUACCCUAUAAUUUCCUUUGACGGCAUCUGACGAGGAAUAAAGAUUUAUCGGUUAUGGAUGGGGAUGCGUCUGAUUAGCUUGUUGGCGGGGUAACGGCCCACCAAGGCAACGAUCAGUAGGGGUUCUGAGAGGAAGGUCCCCCACAUUGGAACUGAGACACGGUCCAAACUCCUACGGGAGGCAGCAGUGAGGAAUAUUGGUCAAUGGGCGGAAGCCUGAACCAGCCAAGUAGCGUGCAGGAUGACGGCCCUAUGGGUUGUAAACUGCUUUUAUACAGGAGUAAAGUUAGCCACGUGUGGUUAUUUGUAGGUACUGUAUGAAUAAGGACCGGCUAAUUCCGUGCCAGCAGCCGCGGUAA